rnacentral:rRNA from 1 species
AUCUAUGGCCAUGCCAUCCUGAAUGUACCUGAUCUUGUCAGACCUCAGAAGCUAAGCAUAGUUAUUGGUGGUAAGUAUUUGGAUGAAGGACUAAACAAACAGCUCUACCCAUUCAAC